GACGAACGCUGGCGGCGUGCUUAACACAUGCAAGUCGAACGGAAAGGCCCUGCUUGCAGGGUACUCGAGUGGCGAACGGGUGAGUAACACGUGGGUGAUCUGCCCUGCACUUCGGGAUAAGCCUGGGAAACUGGGUCUAAUACCGGAUAGAAGCCAUUUUUCGUGUGAUGGUUGGAAAGUUUUUUCGGUGUAGGAUGAGCUCGCGGCCUAUCAGCUUGUUGGUGGGGUAAGGGGCUACCAAGGCGGCGACGGGUAGCCGGCCUGGGGGGGUGGACGGCCACCAUGGGGCUGAGAAACGGCCCAGGAUCCUACGGGGGGCAACAGGGGGGAAAAUUGCACAAUGGGCGCGAGCCUGAUGCAGCGACGCCGCGUGGGGGAUGACGGGCUUCGGGUUGGAAACUCCUUUCGCUAGGGACGAAGCUUUUUGUGACGGUACCUAGAUAAGAAGCACCGGCUAACUACGUG
rnacentral:rRNA from 1 species